AACACGCUCGCAAUGAAAAAAAAAAAAAAAAAAAAAAAAAAAAAAAAAAAAAAAAAA
rnacentral:ribozyme from 13 species